rnacentral:rRNA from 1 species
AUUCCAGCUCCAAUAGCGUAUAUUAAAGUUGUUGCAGUUAAAAAGCUCGUAGUUGGAUUUCAGUCUUAGUUCGUCUGGCCCGCUCCCUUGAGGAGCCGAGUGCCGGUUGCGAGCUGGACUUCCUUCUAGCAUGGAACCUCUACCGUUAUGCGGCCGGGGGGGACAUCUGGAUCAUUUACUUUGAAGAAAUUAGAGUGUUCAAAGCAAGCUUACGCUGUGAAUAUAUUAGCAUGGAAUAAUAACGUAGGACUCGGGUUCUAUUUUGUUGGUUUCUAGGACUCAAGUAAUGAUUGAUAGGGACAGUUGGGGGUGCUGCUAUUAUAUGGCCAGAGGUGAAAUUCACGGAUUCAUAUAAGAGCAACUUAUGCGAAAGCAUUCACCAAGGAUGUCUUCAUUG